CGACGCUUAAGAGAGAAAAAAAAAGGAAAAAUAUAUCCCUUCGGCGCCGCACGACUCGAGCAGCUCAAAGCUAUGGCGACGGCGGAGGCCGGAGGCGAUUGAUUCGAGUUCUUAUUACAUCAGGUUGAUAGGUUCCUGCUGCCGGAUCUUGGAGGUGGGGAAGCCACACCUGACAGCGAACGCAACGAAACUAUGGUCUUCGAGGAUGCCGCAUCAAGCAUUGGAGAUGUGGGCGAUCUGGCACUGACAGUGCAACUAGAACUGAACAACACUUGUGAGGAGCUCAGGUUGCCGGUGCCCAGCUCAGAACAGUCAACAGGAAAAGACGGUCCUCAGGAGUCAGGCGCAGGGCUGGACGAAGAGGGUUCGUGCUGGAAAUGCACCUGCUGUUCCGCCACCCUGCGCUAGCAGAAUAAGUGCCCUGGAGAAAACAUUGAGAGGUUAUGCAGAGAAGAAGACUGAGACUGUUGUGGUUCCUCAAAUACGCAAGUAGGAAGCAACUUCGAUUCGCUUGGGCAAGCAUAUGACUAAUACAACCUGUAUUCAUGCGGAAUUGGAUUUGGAAUUAAUACGGCAAGAGCAGGAAAUAGUCUGUGGAUGCCUGGUGAGUAUUAAUUUCAAUUGGCUAUUGUUUAUAACAUGAUCCUGCUGGUGCAGAUGCCCCACAGUGAUACGGUUGUUGCGAUCAAACGAAAACGGCUGGUACGUCAGUGAAAACAGGAUGCCACACAAUCAUCGCCGACAGAAAAGUGUGGCCAGAAGGUGUGCUGGCCUUCACACAAACAUAUCGAUAUAUACACGCAUGAUGUUGUCAAACAGCUCUGUGAAAAUAAUAUUGGCAUUGGCAAGGUUUACAAUAUAAUUUCUAGUUUCUUCGGUUCAAUGAGCAAUAUACCAUUCAGCAAAAGGCAUUGAGAGGGCCGUGUGGGCAAAUAAGUCGCGAUCAGGCAGAUGAUGAUGUCCGGAAGACAAUGGAGGUUUGUUUGAAAAAUAUUUAUACACUCGACCUAUGUUUGAAAUUGAACACGCCACUGAAAUUGCAUGGUAGCGAUGUAUAUACACGAGCUAUGUUUGAGAAUUUUGGGGAAGUCCUGUAUGAAGGAGGGCAGUACAAAGUGGAAGUGGUCAGUAAAGGCAAAACCUAUUUUGUGCGAUGGUAUCAUCCAAAGAAGCAUGAAUAGUGGUGCAGGGUUGUCUCCAAAGUUGAAGUUAUUGAGCAGGGCAGAGAACUCACAUGUGCGUGUGGCAAUUUCGAGCACACAUGAUUGCUGUGCUGCCAUGCAGUGAAGGUCCUCGAUUUCCUUGGUAUAGACCAGAUACCAGCAAAACACAUUCUUGAACGUUGGAAAAAAUGCAAGGGAUAUAUUGGCAGACCACUUGGCACAUCUUCAAAAGGAUAAAAUUUCAGUGACCUCAAUAACAUUCAGACACACAAAUCUAUACACACAUGCCCUUGAAGUUGUGAGAUUUGGAGAUGCAAGCAUACUGCAUAUGAGUGUGCAGUUAAUCUCUUGAAAUCAACAAUGGAUAAAUUGACGCCUAUAGCCACUGUGCGGGAUGGAAUAGGGUCAAAGGACAGAAUUCAGACGAACAAGGGAAAAACUUAAGAAUUGAUUGCAUUGCAUGCACCUUCCAGUGGAUGUGCUAGUGACGCCGAAGGGAGUGGCAUUGAUAAUUUCAUGGGUUUAAAAGCUCCAGAACCAAAGCGUAAAUCAGGUUGACCAACCACCAGCAGGGACAAGCCUCCAUAUGAUGACCGGGGUGCAAAAAGCAAAAAAUACAAACGAGCAGGAAAUGCACAUGGUGUCGGCGGAUGCGGUACAAGCAAACGUUCUUGCUUCUGUAGCAUAUGGUGCGAUCCAGGACACGACAGCACCACCUGUCCGCAAAAGGGUGAUCUUCCUCAAAAAUAAAGGCAGGAAGCUAAAUGUUCAAACUGUGGUGUCAGUGGUCACAGAAAGAACACCUGCAACAAGCCUAAGGUGGUUCUGCAUGUUGUUGAAAAUGCUACUUUACAGGAAAAUGAAACCUGUGGGUGAGUUCAGUUUU